rnacentral:lncRNA from 1 species
AAAUUGGUUACUAAUGUUGGUUCCAUUGGAUGUUGAUAUUGUAGAUUGAAGUUGAUUAGUAUAGUAGAUCGUUGUAGUAUCAUUAAGGGGUGAAUUUCAGUUUUGGAUUGUUGGCAUUGAAUUGAGGAGACAAGAAGGCAUUCAGAGGUGGAUACGCGCGGAAUGGAAUUUCCUGAGUAUUGAUUAGCUUGCUCGACGUUGGACUCAUCUUGUUGAGGUAAGUAAUACUUCUAAACUUGGAACUGAGGGUAUGAACCCUAAAUAUAUGUGUUAUGUGAUUUGGUUGGAGGUGACGCACAUGCUAGAUGACGGGCGUGUGGGCGUGCACCGUUGAAAUUAUGACGUAAUUGAUUUCGUGGAAUUUUAUAGUAAACUAAUCUUGGCAGUUUCCUUGUAUUGUCAUAUGUUAAAGGAAUUUGAGCUGAGAAUCAUGUUAAAAUCAUGCUGAGGAUAUAUGCCAGUAUUAUUGAGACCCAUAGAUGUCAUAUUGUUGUUGAAUUUAUUUAAAUUGAAAUUUGAAACUGAGUCAUGUUCAUUCAUUUAUAUCAUAUCUCAGUCUCUAUUCUUAUUUAUUGAUACAUCAUAUCAUCAUUCUUGGGUGUGAGAAUAUUAUGUAUACAUGUAUGGAUUUAUUAUGGAAAUAUGAGUAUGAAUAAGUAUUGGAACUCAUGGUAUAGUGAUUGGAAGCCAUAAAUUCUCAAUUUAAAUGAAUGCCCAUUGUAGAAAUUGAAAAGUGAUUAUUUGAUGGAAUUUUGUUGGUUGGGUAAAAAUGGUUGGUCACACAUGUGAUGUUAGGAUUAUAAGUUGUUAAAAAAUAAUGGUGGGAUGAAUUGUUGGUUGGUAGUUGGAAGAACUAAUUCUAUAGUUAAGAAAUGUAUAAAUGUAUGCCCACUAGGUGUUUGGUAAAUUGUCUAAAUGGUCUAAACAUUGAAAUUGGUUACUAAUGUUGGUUCUAUUGGAUGUUGAUAUUGCAGAUUGAAGUUGAUUAGUAUAGUAGAUCGUUGUAGUAUCAUUAAGGGGUGGAUUUCAGUUUUGGAUUGUUGGCAUUGAAUUGAGGAGACAAGAAGACAUUCAGAGGUGGAUACGCGCGGAAUGGAAUUUCCUGAGUAUUGAUUAGCUUGCUCGACGUUGGGUUCGUCUUGUUGAGGUAAUUAACACUUCUAAACUUGGAGCUGAGGGUAUGAAACUUGAAUAUACGUAUUAUGUGAUUUGGUUGGAGGUGACGCACAUGCUAGAUGACGGGUGUGUGGGCGUGCACCGUUGAAAUUAUGACGUAAUUGAUUUCGUGGAAUUUUAUAGUAAACUAAUCUUGGCAUUUUCCUUGUAUUGUCAUAUGUUAAAGGAAUUUGAGCUGAGAAUCAUGCUAAAAUCAUGUUGAAGAUAUAUGCCAGUAUUAUUCAGACCCAUAGAUGUCAUAUUGUUGUUGAAUUCAUUUAAAUUUAAAUUUGAAACUCAGUCAUGUUCAUUCAUUUAUAUCAUAUCUCAGUCUCUAUUCUUAUUUAUUGAUACAUCAUAUCAUCAUUUUUGGGCUAAUUUUCAUGAUAUUUUCGAGCCCGAGAGACUGGAGAGAUUGAUGACUGAGUGAGGUCAAGGGCCUGAUGGUGAGGAUGUUUAUGGAAUCGGACUGUACGCCGCAACAUGUUUUAUUGAUUUAUGCCAUGAUUGGCUUGUUAUAGCGCUUGGGCUGAAAGAGCCCCUCCGGAGUCUGUACACACCCCCAGUGAGCACAUGUAUCUACUGAGUGUGAGUGUCGGGUGCGAGUGCCGAGUGAUUUGGGAGGAUUGAGUGACUGUGAGGCAUGAGUGACUGUGAUGAUUGAGUGAUUGGGAGGACUGAGUGACUGAGAGAAUUGAGCGACUAGGAGGGCUGAGUGAAUUGAUACUCUGAGAGUAUGCAUAUGGUUUUAUCACUAUGUUGUAUUGCAUUGGUAUGCACAUUGACAUGCAGGCAUGGAGAUGUACUUUUCUCAUGCCAUUUGAAAAUGAAAUUUUCUAUUGUGGAAGAAAGUUUUUUUUUGGAAAAAAUCACAGUUUUCAGACUUACUCAUAUUUUGGUGAUUUCAGUGAAGCAAAUUGAGUUUUACUAUUAUAUUUGAAAAUAAAAUAUUUAAUUUUUCGGAACUGUGAACGAGCUGAACAUUUUAUUAUUGAGUUAUUCUCUGUGUUGCCACAAUUUUAUUGUUAUGAGAUGUUACUGGAUAUGGGUGUGGACUCUGACCUUGGUACAGGCUCGUCACUACUUUCAACCUAAGGUUAGGUUUGUUACUUAUUGAGUACAUGGGGUCGGUUGUACUCAUACUACACUUCUACACCUUGCGUGCAGAGUUUGGAUGCUGAUGUUGUUGUGCAUGGCGGGAUCUAGCAUUGAAGAUGUACCUGCUAUCCAGUCACAGCUGCCUCUUGUUCUUGGUAGCUUUAGAAUAAUUAAUCCGUUCAUGUAUAUUUCAAACAGAUGAUGUAUUUUAUUUUAUACCAGCUUUGUAAAUUCAAAUCUUAUAAACUCAUGAUUUGUACUACCAGUCCUUGGGAAAUGUAUUACAGUCAGUUAAAUAUUAAUUGAAUCGGAUUAUU